UGACACUCACUGCUAUUAGUAUUUGAUGUA
rnacentral:piRNA from 1 species